UGGCUCAGGAUGAACGCUAGCUACAGGCUUAACACAUGCAAGUCGAGGGGCAGCAUGAACUUAGCUUGCUAAGUUUGAGUGGCGACCGGCGCGACGGGUGAGUAACACGUACUCCAACCUUCCGUUUACUCAGGGAUAGCCUUUCGAAAGAAAGAUUAAUACCUGAUAGUAUGGUGAGAUUGCAUGAUAACACCAUUAAAGAUUUAUUGGUAAACGAUGGGGAUGCGUUCCAUUAGGUAGUAGGCGGGGUAACGGCCCACCUAGCCUGCGAUGGAUAGGGGUUCUGAGAGGAAGGUCCCCCACAUUGGAACUGAGACACGGUCCAAACUCCUACGGGAGGCAGCAGUGAGGAAUAUUGGUCAAUGGGCGAGAGCCUGAACCAGCCAAGUAGCGUGAAGGAUGAAGGUCCUACGGAUUGUAAACUUCUUUUAUACGGGAAUAAAGUUUCCUACGUGUAGGAUUUUGUAUGUACCGUAUGAAUAAGCAUCGGCUAACUCCGUG
rnacentral:rRNA from 1 species